CAGGCUGCAACCCGCCUGCAUGAAGUCGGAAUUGCUAGUAAUCGCGGAUCAGCAUGCCGCGGUGAAUACGUUCCCGGGCCUUGUGCACACCGCCCGUCACACCAUGGGAGCCGGUAAUACCCGAAGUCAGUAGUUCAACCUCGUGAGGACGCUGCCGAAGGUAGGAUUGGCGACUGGGGUGAAGUCGUAACAAGGUAAC
rnacentral:rRNA from 1 species